UGGGGAAUUUUGGACAAUGGGCGCAAGCCUGAUCCAGCCACGCCGCGUGCGGGAAGAAGGCCUUCGGGUUGUAAACCGCUUUUGUCAGGGAAGAAAUCUUCUGAGUUAAUACCUCGGGAGGAUGACGGUACCUGAAGAAUAAGCACCGGCUAACUACGUGCCAGCAGCCGCGGUAAUACGUAGGGUGCAAGCGUUAAUCGGAAUUACUGGGCGUAAAGCGUGCGCAGGCGGUUUUGUAAGACAGAGGUGAAAUCCCCGGGCUCAACCUGGGAACUGCCUUUGUGACUGCAAGGCUUGAGUGCGGCAGAGGGGGAUGGAAUUCCGCGUGUAGCAGUGAAAUGCGUAGAUAUGCGGAGGAACACCGAUGGCGAAGGCAAUCCCCUGGGCCUGCACUGACGCUCAUGCACGAAAGCGUGGGGAGCAAAACAGGAUUAGAUACCCUGGUAGUCCACGCCCUAAACGAUGUCAACUGGUUGUUGGGAAGGUUCCUUCUCAGUAACGUAGCUAACGCGUGAAGUUGACCGCCUGGGGAGUACGGCCGCAAGGUUGAAACUCAAAUGAAUUGACGGGGUCAUAGCUGUUUCCU
rnacentral:rRNA from 1 species